CCAUUUGUGUGAAUUAAAAUCUAUAAAAACAUGGCCUCUAAAUACUCACAAGUAUUAUUACUUCUACUUGGAAUGAUGGUUCUUACUACUGUAGUGAGUUAUGGGCAUAAUAAAUUUGGGUAUGCGCCAAUGUUAGAUCUAGAGGAGGAUUGGCCAGACCAAUUCUUUCCACCACUUACCAUAAUUGAGGGUCGAAAGUCGCAUAGUUUUGGAUAUCCACCUAUAUUAGAUCCAGAAGAAGAUUGACCUAAUAACUAAUGAGAAAUCAUUUGUUUAUAAGCCAGUCCACAUUUCAAAGCUGUUGUGAUGUUAUGAAUAAUGAGGAAGUAGAGGAGUUAACUAGUUGGUUAAAGAAUGAGAGAAAAUAAUUUUUUUGGAAGAAAAUAGUGUUUUUGGUAAGAAUAAGGAAGUAGAAUGCAAACAGAGAUGCAUUAGUAAAAUUGGAUAGAAAAGAGGUGGAAGUAGCAAAGUGAUGGACAAAAUUGGCAAGUACACCAAAUUAUAACAAGUAGUAAGUUGUAUCGUUCUUCACAAAGAUUGUCGUUCAACUCAAUAUAUAAUUUGCAAAACUUAUUUUAACACGGAAAAUAGUAAUGAUGGUUAGAAUUGCAGGGUUUAAUUGCCCGACCCAAUGCAAGAUUAGGUUUGUGUGAUUCAGAUGUGUAAUAGUGAUUAGGGAAUCCGUGAAUCCCAUCUUCCUUCUUUGUUGGAUCAA